rnacentral:lncRNA from 1 species
GGUCUGCUAUUUUCCAGUCACACUCUGAGGUCUGAUUGUCAGCUUUAUGUCUCAGAAAGUAUUCCUCGCAAUUCAGGCCACGCCAGCAUGUGAAUGAAACAGACAGUGGCAGAGCUCCUAGGCAACCUUUACAUAAUCCUCCCUGUGCUGUCUCCUUCUUGGGCACACCGUUACCCUACUGGAGCAGGAUAUGAGGUAAGGGAAAAGAGCAGAAGAAUAAUCUAAGCUGUGGAAUAUGAAAGGAAGGAAUAGGAGGGAAAAAGAGGAAGGAGGGAGAGUGGAACAAGAAGUCAGUGUUUGUUUAAGGUUUGUCAUACCCCGAGGACUGUGCUAGAUGCUUUAGACAUGUGAUCUCCUUUCAUUCUGUGUGUGUGCGCGCGCGCGUGUAAUGUGAGAACCUCCUUAGCAAGUACUUCGUGAGCUCUCUUUGGAGAGUAAAUGGAUAUUUUGGAGAUGGGAGAAGAUAUACUCAUUCUCAGGUGUUUUGUACUGUUGCUUCCCAGUUGUUGGCAGGAACAUUUAAUGAUACUCUUGGAUCUCAAGUAUCGGUUUUAAAAUAAUAGUGGUAGUAGUAACAUAUUUAUUCUCACUUCAGAUUUAACUGCAAGUGAAAGAGAGACUGAGAAUUAAUUGUACCCAUCAAUUCAUUGUCAGUCUUGGAAAGAAUUCAGCUAGAGCCCACAAUGUGUAAAGAAGUGUACUUGGUACUGCUGUAGGUACACAUAGUUACCAUAUGCAUGAGUGCCAGAAUCCAUUUUACUAGAUCUAAAAUCUGUAUUUCUGAAAAUAAAGUUAACUACGUAGUCUGGGAAGUGCAGCACUGAGGAAAUGAAAUUUGAUCAGGGUAUUGAUGAUGGCAUAUAGAUGGACAGAGCAGAGAGAAGGAAAGCACUCCAGUCAGACAGAGGAAAACCCAAUUCCAAAGUCGGUGGAGAUGCUUUGGCAAGGCUAGUUUGGAAUCACUUGGGAAGGAUGGGUCUGUGCUAUAGUCUACAUUUAAAAAUGUACCAAGUCAAUGUAGCAAGCUCAUUAUUAUUUUCUAAAUGUGACUUUAUAAUACAGAACCCAGUAAGGGAAAUUUCUUAUUUGCUCUUUACAGAAGAAGUAGCACUGAAGCAAAGGCUUACAAGUUGCGAGUCAUCCUUUGGAAUCUUGGAACCUAUUUCCAAAGCUUUAUAAUGCACACCAAAAAAAAUCUGAUACUAAAGGGUUUGAUAUGAUUAGCUGAAGAACCUGCUUGGAACGGCUCCCUUCCACAUAGUAAGACUAAGUGUGAUCUUGUUCUUGCUUUAAUGAAGAAAUAGCAUGAUAAUGCAGCAAACACAAAAAGCACAUAGUGUUUUUCAGUAUCACCCUUGCAAAAAUCAAUUUUUUUCCUAGUUCUUAUACAUACAGCAUAAAUUGCACAGAAAUGUCAUGAUGGUAUAGGUACUGUUCUGAAUCUUGCUUUUUACUUUUAAUCACAGGCCUAUCAUUUUUUUCCCAUAUUGCCACAUAAUUUUAAAAAUUUUACUUUUUAAUGGCUGUAUAAUAAUUUAAUGGGUAUAUUAUACGAAAGCAUUUGGCUAUCAUUGGAAAUUUUAGUUGUUACUUAUACAGCAGUGAAUGUCAAUGCAAAUAGCCUUUCCUUUAUUAUUCCAUGAUGAUGCAUUCUGAUGUUUGGGAUUCCUAGGUCAAAGAAUAAGGAAAUUUAAAGGAUCAUAAUAUGAAUUGAUAAAUAACUUCCCAAAACAUUGUGCUGAUUUGUAAUAUCAGCAACAAUGUGCAUUAGCUUCACUGGAUUAUGCCAGCACUGAACAUUGUUUUUGGAAUUUUAUUGGCUGACUUUAUAGGUAUGAAAUAUUGCUUCAUUGUUUUAACAUAAAUUUAAUUGAUGAUUAGUGUGGUCGAAUAGUUCUCUAUGUGUUUACUUCUAAGUCAGAUUUUUUUUCUUAUCAGUUGAUGCUCCUAGCCUUUGCCUGUUUAUAUGUUAAGAUCUUAAAACAGUUACUUUCUAAAAAAUUUCCUGCAAUGGUUUAAAUGAUUUUUAAAUUUCUAUCUUAAAAGGAAAUUCACAUUUCUGAUGAGUCAUUCACUAAGUUCUAAGACUAUCAUGAUCAUCUGUCAGUAUUGCCAGAUCAACUUGUAUUAAAAAGAGAUUCUAGGGGAAAAAAGAUACUAGAAAACCCCUUUCUGUGUA